rnacentral:tRNA from 1 species
GCGGGGGUGUCCGAGUGGUCAAAGGAGGCAGGCUUAGGACCUGCUGCCGUAGGGCUGCGUGGGUUCGAACCCCACCCCCCGCACCA